UCCUGUAACUGAAAGUGACUGCAGGCUGCCCGUGCCCUGGUCACUGGUAGUGCAGGGAGAGGAAUCACUGAGAAGAGUUCCAGCCAGCCCUUCCGAACCCUGGAGCUUUCCCACA
ensembl:snoRNA SNORA71 Small nucleolar RNA SNORA71